rnacentral:rRNA from 1 species
UACGUAGGGUGCAAGCGUUGUCCGGAAUUAUUGGGCGUAAAGAGCGUGUAGGCGGCCAGGUAGGUCCGCUGUGAAAACUCGAGGCUCAACCUCGAGAUGUCGGCGGAAACCAUCUGGCUAGAGUCCGGAAGAGGAGAGUGGAAUUCCUGGUGUAGCGGUGAAAUGCGCAGAUAUCAGGAAGAACACCCGUGGCGAAAGCGGCUCUCUGGAACGGUACUGACGCUGAGACGCGAAAGCGUGGGGAGCGAACAGG